UGAGUACGAAAUGCUACGGCAUUGAAGCAGUCUAUGUCAUACUUCCUAGAAAAGCUUGCACUGUCAUAAACAAAUAAUGCCUGUACCAUAACCGACACAGGUGGGUGGGUAGAGUAUACUAAGGGGCGCGAGAUAACUCUCUCUAAGGAACUCGGCAAAAUGACUCCGUAACUUCGGGAGAAGGAGUGCCUUAUUUAUAAGGUUGCAAUAACAAGAUCCAAGCAACUGUUUAUCAAAAACACAGGUCUCCGCUAAGUCGUAAGACGAUGUAUGGGGGCUGACGCCUGCCCAGUGCCAGAAGGUUAAAGAAGUUGGUUAGCAUUCGCGAAGCUGAUAACUGAAGCCCUGGUGAACGGCGGCCGUAACGAUCACGGUCCUAAGGUAGCGAAAUUCCUUGUCGGGUAAGUUCCGACCCGCACGAAAGGCGUAAUGAUUUGGAUACUGUCUCGGAGAGGGGCUCGGUGAAAUAGACUUGUCUGUGAAGAUGCGGACUACCUGCACCUGGACAGAAAGACCCUAUGAAGCUUUACUGUAACUUGAAAUUGAAAUUGGACUUUAUUUGCGCAGUAUAGGUGGGAGGCAUUGAAGAUAUUCUUGCGGGAAUAUUGGAGCCAUCAGUGAGAUACCACUCUUGUAAUGUUAGAUUUCUAACUUUGUAUCAUUAUCUGGUCAAAGAACAGUUUCAGGCGGGCAGUUUGACUGGGGCGGUCGCCUCCCAAAUGGUAACGGAGGCGCACAAAGGUUUCCUCUGAACGGGUAGAAAUCGUAUCUAGAGUGUAAAGGCAUAAGGAAGCUUGACUGUGAGACCUACAAGUCGAGCAGGGACGAAAGUCGGUCUUAGUGAUCUGACGGUGCUGAGUGGAAAGGCCGUCACUCAACGGAUAAAAGUUACUCUAAGGAUAACAGGCUGAUCUCCCCCAAGAGUUCACAUCGACGGGGAGGUUUGGCACCUCGAUGUCGGCUCAUCGCAUCCUGGGGCGGUAGUACGUCCCAAGGGUUGGGCUGUUCGCCCAUGAAAGCGGUACGCGAGCUGGGUUCAGAACGUCGUGAGACAGUUCGGUCCAUAUCCGGUGUAGGCGUUAGAAUAUUGAGAGGAGCCUUCUUUAGUACGAGAGGACCGAGAAGGACAUACCUCUGGUGUACCAGUUAUUGUGCCAACGGUAAACGCUGGGUAGCUAUGUAUGGAGAGGAUAACCGCUGAAAGCAUCUAAGUGGGAAGCCCACCUCAAGAUAAG
rnacentral:rRNA from 1 species